ACACAUGCAAGUCGAGCGGGCGAGGUUGCUUCGGUAACUGAGCUAGCGGCGGACGGGUGAGUAAUGCUUAGGAAUCUGCCUAUUAGUGGGGGACAACAUUCCGAAAGGAAUGCUAAUACCGCAUACGCCCUACGGGGGAAAGCAGGGGAUCUUCGGACCUUGCGCUAAUAGAUGAGCCUAAGUCAGAUUAGCUAGUUGGUGGGGUAAAGGCCUACCAAGGCGACGAUCUGUAGCGGGUCUGAGAGGAUGAUCCGCCACACUGGGACUGAGACACGGCCCAGACUCCUACGGGAGGCAGCAGUGGGGAAUAUUGGACAAUGGGCGCAAGCCUGAUCCAGCCAUGCCGCGUGUGUGAAGAAGGCCUUUUGGUUGUAAAGCACUUUAAGCGAGGAGGAGGCUACUUGGAUUAAUACUCUAGGAUAGUGGACGUUACUCGCAGAAUAAGCACCGGCUAACUCUGUGCCAGCAGCCGCGGUAAUACAGAGGGUGCGAGCGUUAAUCGGAUUUACUGGGCGUAAAGCGUGCGUAGGCGGCUUCUUAAGUCGGAUGUGAAAUCCCUGAGCUUAACUUAGGAAUUGCAUUCGAUACUGGGAAGCUAGAGUAUGGGAGAGGAUGGUAGAAUUCCAGGUGUAGCGGUGAAAUGCGUAGAGAUCUGGAGGAAUACCGAUGGCGAAGGCAGCCAUCUGGCCUAAUACUGACGCUGAGGUA
rnacentral:rRNA from 1 species